CGCUUUCGACGUUGUUGUCCUUCCUCCCUCUCCCUCCCACCCCUUUAUUCCUCUUACUCUAUCGCACUCUUGUAUGUACACUAUCAACCCUUGCAAACUACCCCCUCCACAUAUUCUCCUCCUCCUCCUCCUCCUCCUCCACCUUCUCCUCUUUCUCCACCUUCGAAAUUCUCUCUCUCUCGUAUCGUUCACCUAUUCGAGAAAGGCGAGAGCAUAAGCGCGCGCGUAAAACCGCGACAACAUUCUCUCCCCCUCUCUCUCUACCUCUCUUACACUUCUCUCUCCCUCUCGGUGCUUUUCUUCAAUCGUUAAUCGACUCCGAUCGUCUUUAGGAAACGAUUCUGCCCGUCCGUUUGUCGAUUCGUCUGGCUAUUUAUCUAUUUGUUCUCCUAAAUAAUAAAUAACGAUAAUAAUAAUGCAGAACUAAUAAUGGAGAACGAUGAAUUUUGUAGUUAGUCAAUUGAAACUGUAAGGAAAAAACUGCAGCACUCCUCGAGCUGGAUGAUAGACGUGCGUUUGAUAGCUCGAGUUACGUACUAUGGCCGGUUGUUAGUACUCUAACGGUUGGAUAAAAAAAAAAGGGGUAGGAAAAUGUAGAAGGAAACCGCAGGUUCGCAUCAAUGUGGGCUCCGACGUUCGCACACGAGCGAACGUCCAGCCGCGCACGCGAGAGACUGGCUCGGGAGUGCGACCGAUUCGUGAGCUCGCGCAGAGAGAGGGGUUGAAUGGUGUGCGUGUGAUGGAUAGAUUGGUAGAAAGAGGGAGAGAAGUAUCGCGGAGUCACGCUCGACGUUCUUACCGUUGACGGAGAUAUUAUUGGAAGUGGUGUUGGUGAAACGAGAUGAGGGGUGGUGCUGACGACGUAUAGGGGUAGCUAGCGGUAGCAACGACUACGACUACGACUACGACAACGACGAUGAUGAUGGUGGUGCUGUUGUUGCCGGUGGUGGUUGCGUAGAUCGAGUGAGAGAGACGAAGCCUGGAGAAAUUGGUGGGGGUAUAAGCCGCGAUAGCCGAGCUUGUCGGCUAGGUCGAAGGGUUGUGGCGUCGAGAGGGGCGGAGCACGGGAGUGUAGUCGCGCGAAUGCGGCUGGCUCCGGCGAUUCCUCAUAGGGCGGAGACGCGAUCGAUGCCUAGCAUGGCCCACCACCCUACCGGAGGGGUAGUUCGCGUUACGAGCCAAUCGCUGACUCGCUCGCGUCCUUAAAUCCGAAGAUACUCGUCCCCCCGCCCCCUGCCCCUACCAUCCUCCUGCCUGCUGCGUUUCUAUCUACGCCAACUCUGUGAUCGAGUACGAGGGGUAGAGAAAGAAAGAGAGAGAGAAAGAGAGAGAGAGUGGGACGGACGGACGAACGAACGAACGAACGUUGCUGCCGGGGCCUUUCUACCAGUUAUUCCAACGAGAGAAAGAGACAGAUUCGAGUGGGGGAAAUGGAGUUAACGUAGUAGGAAGGGGGAUGAACGAGCCUCGAAAGAGGGAAACACCACAACCCGCUUCUGCUGCUGCUGCUGCUGCUGUUGCUGCUGGUGGUGGUGCCCCUGCCACGCCGUGUUACUUAUCCAUUAUAACACUCCAAGAUCUUGAUUUAAGCCUGCAGCCAGCGAAAUAAAAGGGACUAUGCGGAACGAUUAAGAAGAAAGAGAAAGAUAAAGAAAGAGAAGGGCCGAGGAUUAAUAGAAAAGGAAAAAGAGAUCGUAAGCUGGUACCCGUUACUGGGUUGCUAUCGCUGUUACUGUUGUUGCUACUGUCGCUGUUGGGUGCUGGUGUUCGAGGGAGAAACACAAUGGCAAUGGGGAUAAACGAGGAGUCGAGUACUGAAAGUCGAGGUGGUACGAGGCGCUAAGAAGAAGAAGGAAAAAAAAGAGAAAAAAAAUCAGAAUCAUAGAAAUGUUUAAACGUCUCCGUUUGGACUUUAGUUAUGGAAAAAAAGAAAAAGAAGAAGAAAAAAAUAGGAAUGGUUUCGUUCGUAGCUCGUUUUAAUCAAGCGAACGCGGCCUUUUGUAAGUAUAACCAGCCGACGAUGAAAGACGAAUGAUGGCAAGAAAUAUCAAUUACACGAAUCCAUUCAGAAAUAUGAAAAGGAGGAAUAGAACGAGAGAAAGAGA
rnacentral:lncRNA from 1 species